rnacentral:tRNA from 1 species
GCGCCCGUAGCUCAGGGGACAGAGCAGCGGCCUUCUAAGCCGCUGGCCAAAGGUUCGAAUCCUUCCGGGCGUA